rnacentral:rRNA from 1 species
GACCUCCGAUCAAGCAAGAGGACCCGCUGAAUUUAAGCAUAUAACUAAGCGGAGGAAAAGAAACUAACCAGGAUUCCCCCAGUA